GGGUGGCGUGUGAGUGCGUGGAGGGUAAAAGCCAGUCAGUCAGUGAGAAGCAAAGAUCAACCACCUCAGAAGAGCCAGAUUCCACUUCUGUGGCCAGGACUUUUACAUUAUGGCUGGUCCGAUUGUUUUACCCUGCGUUCUAUGCUACUAAACCUUGGAUCAUUCCUAAAGUACAAAUUCUGUUCUCGAACCACAAACAAGGCUAAAAGAUCGGAGGAAAUUCAGUGAAUAUACAGGAUUGGGGUGUCUGAUGAUUUGUGAGCCUCAAGUGACUACUCUGUGGAAUCAUCUGUCCUUGCCUUUGAAUUAGCUUUCCCUAGGCCAUGAGUCAACAUUAGUAGUUUAUACAUCCAAAUUGUGUUGACUUCAUUCUCAGGUAAGCUUUCUGAAUGUGGUGGCAAAGAUGGCCACAUACAACUUCAGACUUGCAUCAUGCGUCAUCCUACAGCCUGUGAAUCCAGGAAAAAUAAACAAACAAAAAGAUUCUCUUUAUGCCAACAUCAAUUUCAGUUGUCAGAAAAUCUUGGAUUGGCUCUGUUUUGGUGACAUGCCCAUAUGUGGAUCCACUUAUUUGAUAAACAAGGACUACUCUGAUUGGAUGGCCAAUGUAGGGAGGCAAAAGACGACUAGCCUAUCAAGGUCAUGAGGAAUGAGUGAGGGUCUGUCAGUCGUAGAAAGUGAAAGGAAUUUAAAGCAGGCGGGAAUGUAAUGGAACACACAACCACCACUACACAUUUUUUAAUUACUGAGUAUAAUGAUGAUUGAUAGGCUUUUGAAAAUGUUUGUCUUGGUAAACUCACUGGUACCUAUCAAUGUGUAGGCAACAUUAGUUUAUUUUGCCAAAUGUCCUCUUACAGCAUGGAAACUAUAAAACAUCUGCUGCAGCAAAUCUCAACCUUGAGUGUCAUGAGAUUAAUUACUUUUAUUAACACUUUCCAUAAGCAUGUAAUAUAUGACAUAUACCAGGAAAGUCAGCAUUUGGUCUCAUUUAGGAAUUUGAAAUUUUAAAAAUUAUUUAAGAUUACUAGAAAUUGUUUGGUAAAGAAGAGAUGAUUAUUUUUUUCUGUAGCCUAUUGUGUCUAUCCUUAACCACCAUAUGAUCAGACCAUUUCCUUACAGCAAAUUUUAUAUCCUCCCCACUUUUACCUCUAAUGUUAGAGAUAAUUAGUGCUGAUUCUUGGAAAUUUUUAUUUUUGUUUAUGAAUUAAUUUCUUCCUCUACUACUAUUAUACAUAUAUAUAUGCAUUAUAUAUACAUA
ensembl:lncRNA MIR99AHG mir-99a-let-7c cluster host gene